GGGAGCUUGCUCCCUGAAGUCAGCGGCGGACGGGUGAGUAACACGUGGGCAACCUGCCUGUAAGACUGGGAUAACUCCGGGAAACCGGGGCUAAUACCGGAUAAUUCUUUUCCUCACAUGAGGGAAAGCUGAAAGAUGGUUUCGGCUAUCACUUACAGAUGGGCCCGCGGCGCAUUAGCUAGUUGGUGAGGUAACGGCUCACCAAGGCCACGAUGCGUAGCCGACCUGAGAGGGUGAUCGGCCACACUGGGACUGAGACACGGCCCAGACUCCUACGGGAGGCAGCAGUAGGGAAUCUUCCGCAAUGGACGAAAGUCUGACGGAGCAACGCCGCGUGAGUGAUGAAGGUUUUCGGAUCGUAAAACUCUGUUGUCAGGGAAGAACAAGUACCGGAGUAACUGCCGGUACCUUGACGGUACCUGACCAGAAAGCCACGGCUAACUACGUGCCAGCAGCCGCGGUAAUACGUAGGUGGCAAGCGUUGUCCGGAAUUAUUGGGCGUAAAGCGCGCGCAGGCGGUUCCUUAAGUCUGAUGUGAAAGCCCCCGGCUCAACCGGGGAGGGUCAUUGGAAACUGGGGAACUUGAGUGCAGAAGAGAAGAGUGGAAUUCCACGUGUAGCGGUGAAAUGCGUAGAGAUGUGGAGGAACACCAGUGGCGAA
rnacentral:rRNA from 1 species